rnacentral:rRNA from 1 species
UACGAAGGGGGCUAGCGUUGUUCGGAAUCACUGGGCGUAAAGGGUGCGUAGGCGGGUUUUUAAGUCAGGGGUGAAAUCCUGGAGCUCAACUCCAGAACUGCCUUUGAUACUGAGGAUCUUGAGUUCGGGAGAGGUGAGUGGAACUGCGAGUGUAGAGGUGAAAUUCGUAGAUAUUCGCAAGAACACCAGUGGCGAAGGCGGCUCACUGGCCCGAUACUGACGCUGAGGCACGAAAGCGUGGGGAGCAAACAGG